rnacentral:miRNA from 1 species
GACGUCGAUAUUCGACGUCAUCAACACGAACAACUUUGGUGUUUAUGACGUCGAUAUUCGACGUCAUAAACACGAACAACUUUGGUGUUCAUGACGUCGAUAUUCGACGUCAUAAACACGAACAACUUUGGUGUUUAUGACGUCGAUAUUCGACGUCAUAAACACGAACAACUUUGGUGUUUAUGACGUCGAUAUUCGACGUCGUAAACACCAUCAACUUUGGUGUUUAUGACGUCGAUAUUCGACGUC